CUGGUGCGGGGGAGACGGGAACCCGCCUGCCUUGGAAGCAGGAGACACCGCGUUCGACUCGCGGGCACCAGAC
rnacentral:tRNA from 1 species